rnacentral:pre_miRNA from 1 species
UGUAAACAUCCCCGACUGGAAGCUUUUGAGACGAAUUUGAGCUUUCAGUCUGAUGUUUGCU